rnacentral:rRNA from 1 species
UACGGGGGGGGCAAGCGUUGUUCGGAAUUACUGGGCGUAAAGGGCUCGUAGGUGGCCAACUAAGUCAGACGUGAAAUCCCUCGGCUUAACCGGGGAACUGCGUCUGAUACUGGAUGGCUUGAGUUUGGGAGAGGGAUGCGGAAUUCCAGGUGUAGCGGUGAAAUGCGUAGAUAUCUGGAGGAACACCGGUGGCGAAGGCGGCACUCUGGGCCGGAACUGACGCUGAGGAGCGAAAGCGUGGGGAGCGAACAGG